rnacentral:rRNA from 1 species
UUCGGGUGGAGCGGCGGACGGGUUAGUAACGCGUGGGAAUAUACCCUUCACUAUGGAAUAGCCUCGGGAAACUGAGAGUAAUACCAUAUACGCCCUUCGGGGGAAAGAUUUAUCGGUGAAGGAUUAGCCCGCGUAAGAUUAGAUAGUUGGUGGGGUAAUGGCCUACCAAGUCUACGAUCUUUAGCUGGUUUUAGAGGAUGAUCAGCAACACUGGGACUGAGACACGGCCCAGACUCCUACGGGAGGCAGCAGUGGGGAAUCUUAGACAAUGGGCGAAAGCCUGAUCUAGCCAUGCCGCGUGAGUGAUGAAGGUCUUAGGAUCGUAAAGCUCUUUCGUCGGGGAAGAAAAUGACUGUACCCGAAUAAGAAGGUCCGGCUAACUUCGUGCCAGCAGCCGCGGUAAUACGAAGGGACCUAGCGUAGUUCGGAAUUACUGGGCUUAAAGAGUUCGUAGGUGGUUGAAAGAGUUGGUGGUGAAAUCCCAGAGCUUAACUCUGGAACUGCCAUCAAAACUUUUCAGCUA